CCAGACUCCUACGGGAGGCAGCAGUCGGGAAUAUUGCGCAAUGGAGGAAACUCUGACGCAGUGACGCCGCGUAUAGGAAGAAGGUUUUCGGAUUGUAAACUAUUGUCGUUAGGGAAGAUAAAAGACUGUACCUAAGGAGGAAGCCCCGGCUAACUAUGUGCCAGCAGCCGCGGUAAUACAUAGGGGGCAAGCGUUAUCCGGAAUUAUUGGGUGUAAAGGGUGCGUAGACGGAGAAACAAGUUGGUUGUGAAAUCCCUCGGCUCAACCGAGGAACUGCAACCAAAACUAUUUCCCUUGAGUGUCGGAGAGGAAAGUGGAAUUCCUAGUGUAGCGGUGAAAUGCGUAGAUAUUAGGAGGAACACCAGUGGCGAAGGCGACUUUCUGGACGAUAACUGACGUUGAGGCACGAAAGUGUGGGGAGCAAACAGGAUUAGAUACCCCAGUA
rnacentral:rRNA from 1 species